rnacentral:misc_RNA from 1 species
GAUGAAGAACGUAGCGAAAUGCGAUAAGUAAUGUGAAUUGCAGAAUUCAGUGAAUCAUCGAGUCUUUGAACGCACAUUGCGCCCCCUGGUAUUCCGGGGGGCAUGCCUGUCCGAGCGUCAUUGCUGCCCUCAAGCACGGCUUGUGUGUUGGGCCCCCGUCCCCGGUUUCCCCCGGGGACGGGCCCGAAAGGCAGCGGCGGCACCGCGUCCGGUCCUCGAGCGUAUGGGGCUUUGUCACCCGCUCUGUAGGCCCGGCCGGCGCCUGCCGACACCCAACUUUAUUUCUAAGGUUGACCUCGGAUCAGGUAGGGAUACCCGCUGAACUUAAGCAUAUCAAUAAGCGGAGGA